GUUAUUUAGGUAAGUUAUAUUACUUUGAGUAAAGGCAGGCGACAAACGCUUAGUAAUAAUGGAAACCUUAAUGAAAACCUUUUUGAUAUUCCUUGGACUUGCCGUAACAUGUGAGGCAAUGUGGGGUUUCGGAGAGGAAAAGAAAUGUGAAUUCAGAGGUAAGUACCGUCUUGUUUUGUAUAGCGAUUGUAUAGUUAGAUAAUUUAACAGAGCUGCAACUAAGAAAAUUAAUUUUUAAGUCGGUGUUUAACAAUAAUGCCAUCCAUUUAAUAAGGUUGAGAA